rnacentral:rRNA from 1 species
AUGAAUCCGCUUUGCUGCAUCGCGCCCGUAUCGGUCGACUACGCCGCGGACCACCACCACCACCACCAACCUCGCAGUGUCGCAGCCGCGACACUAUCUGCAACGCCAGAGGCGGCUCCGCCUCAGACCACGCCCCCUGUCGUUUCGGGGGUGCUGCACAAGUGGGUGAACUACGGGAAGGGGUGGCGGUCGAGGUGGUUCGUGCUCGAGGACGGGGUCCUCUCCUACUACAAGCUCCGCGACGGCGGAGGGGAAAGCGGUGAAUCGUCGGCGUCGACAGCGGCGGCAAGGGUGAUCGGGGAGGGUGACGCGCUACGGCGGGCGCGGGAGGACGCUGCAGCUGCUGGGAAGCAGUGGAAGCCCUUCGGGGAUAUACACCUCAAGGUUUCGUCUAUCCGUGCAAGCAGGUCGGAUGAUAAGAGGUUGUAUAUAUUCAGUGGAACUAAGACAUUACACUUGAGGUGUGAAACUGAGGAGGACAGGAAUGCAUGGCUAGAGGCUUUGUUGGUGGCGAAGGAUCGGUUUCCGAGGUCGCUAAUGACCAAUGAUUUUGCUCCUGUCGCUGAUAUUAUGCUGUCCACUGAGAAGCUGAGGAUGCGUCUGCUACAUGAGGGACUGAAUGAAACAGUGGUCAAUGAAUGCGAGUCUAUUAUGAUGACUGAGCUGCUGGAACUGCACAAUCAGAUAAAGUCUCAGCAGCAGCAGCACUCUGUUUUAGUAGACCGGCUCCGUCAGCUUGAGACAGAGAAAGUUGAGCUGGAGAGAACGGUUGUGCAUGAAACUAAAGAGAGGGAAGCACAUGGCUAUGUUAAUGGCAGAUACAGUGAUUUUUAUUCAGUUCUAUCAGGCGGGAGUGCAAGCGAAUCUGAUCCGGACACUGCAAGUCAAGUUGCAGAUGCUGAAUCUGAAGACGAAGUGACAUACUUUGAUACAAGAGAUUUUUUGUCUGUAGAAUCUCUACGAAGUGCUUCUCGAAGGAGGGAACUUGUGACAAAUGGCUGCAAUGCAUUAGAAUCUAUUGGAGACUCCAGAUCGUAUACUGCCAAGUUUACCAAAUAUCCCAUUGUUGAGCGUCGAGAUAAGUUACCUGAGCCAAAGGAGAAAGAGAAACCAAUAGGAUUAUGGUCAAUAAUUAAAGAAAAUAUAGGGAAAGAUCUCUCCGGUGUUUGUCUCCCUGUUUAUUUCAAUGAGCCUUUGUCUUCUUUGCAAAAAUGUUUUGAGGAUCUGGAGUACUCUUACUUGGUUGACAAUGCAUUACAGUGGGGAAAGCAGGGUGACAGCUUGAUGAGGACACUUCUUGUUGCGGCUUUUGCAGUAUCAAGCUAUGCUUCAACUGAAGGUCGGCAAUGCAAACCCUUCAAUCCUCUACUUGGUGAAACAUAUGAAGCUGAUUAUCCAGAUAAAGGACUUCGCUUUUUCUCUGAGAAGGUCAGUCACCACCCCGUGGUUGUUGCAUGCCACUGUGAUGGUCGAGGUUGGAAAUUCUGGGGUGAUUCGAAUCUGAGAGGCAAGUUCUGGGGUCGAUCCAUUCAGCUUGAUCCAAUAGGCGUUCUAACCCUUCAAUUUGAUGAUGGGGAGAAAUUCCAGUGGAGUAAAGUUACUACUUCCAUAUACAAUAUCAUUAUAGGGAAAAUUUAUUGUGACCACUAUGGCACAAUGCACAUCAAGGGAAGUAGUCGCUACUCUUGCAAGCUUAAAUUCAAAGAACUGUCAAUUAUUGAUCGGAACCCACACCAGGUGCAAGGAUUUGUACAAGAUAAUAGGACUGGAGAGAAAGUCGCUAUGUUAAUUGGAAAAUGGGAUGAAGCUAUGUAUUAUGUGCUUGGGGAUCCAAGCGCUAAACCCAAGUGGUACGACCCAAUGUCAGAAGCAGUUCUUUUGUGGGAGAGAGACAAGUCUUUGAAUCAAACCCGAUAUAACCUUUCUCCAUUUGCAAUUUCUUUAAAUGAAUUGCCACCUCACAUGUUGACGAUGUUGCCUCCUACUGAUUCUCGCCUGAGGCCUGAUCAGAGACAUCUGGAAAAUGGUGAAUACGAAAAGGCAAAUUCGGAGAAACUCAGACUUGAACAACUUCAGCGGCAGGCUCGAAGGUUACAAGAGAAAGGCUGGCAACCAAGGUGGUUCAGGAAGGACGAGGACGACAGCUACUGCUAUCUUGGGGGAUACUGGGAAGCGAGGGAAAAAGGAAACUGGGACGGGAUCCCCCAUAUAUUCGGCCAGAGCAGUGCAUUGACCGGGUAG